rnacentral:rRNA from 1 species
GACGGAGGAUGCAAGUGUUAUCCGGAAUCACUGGGCGUAAAGCGCGUGUAGGCGGUCCGGUAAGUCCGCUGUGAAAGUCGGGGGCUCAACCCUCGGAUGCCGGUGGAUACUGUCGGGCUUGAGUACGGAAGAGGCGAGUGGAAUUCCUGGUGUAGCGGUGAAAUGCGCAGAUAUCAGGAGGAACACCAAUUGCGAAGGCAGCUCGCUGGGACGUUACUGACGCUGAGACGCGAAAGCGUGGGGAGCAAACAGG